CCAGGAUGAGAAGCCAGGCAGACUGGCCUUAGAUCCAUGAUUUACCUACCUGAAAAUGUUAUUAUAAUUGAACACUGACGUUUUCAUAUUUAUCUUAUAUAUAUGUUGACAACUUGGGCGUAUAUGUUAAAGAAUCACAAAAAGAGAUUUUCAUUUUUCUUGAGUAGUCUUUUGAUGAUGUAUUUCUUUCAUUGAAGUUCAAGGCAGUGGUUGUAUGUCUUCAGCUACUUUGUGUAUUGCCCUUUAUAAAUUCUCAUAACUAUUCACACUUAUACUUUCUCAUUUCUGAUCCCAUCCUCUAGAAAAAUGAGGAAAAUAGGUGUGGUUUACCACAUUUAUUUUUUUUGAUUCCGAAGCACUAUCAGCAGUCAAAAUGAAAGGAAAUUAAGAGGGUUUUUCAAUCCAAUUUUCUAUUGUUUUCUUAGGAAGAAAUUGAAGCAGAACAGAAUCCAAAUCCAUUCAGAGAACACUUUGGUUCAGUGAGGACUUAAUCAAGAAUACUCAUUCUUUACAGGCCAGGCAUGUUAGAAUACAAGAAUAAGACAAUUCUGCAAACUAAGAAGAGUAUCCUCACCAGACAUUGCCAGUUCCUUGAUCUUGGACUUCCCAGACUCCAGAAAUGUGAGAAAUAAACAUUAUUUAAAUUACCCAGUCUAUGUUUGUGUUAUAGCAGCCCAUACUAACAUAGGAAGGAUAUUACUAAUUAUAUAAUCAUGUUAUAAUUCUCUGACAUAUUACAUUGGUUCUAUAAUAUUCAUUAUAUAUUUCUCAAGGGCAAAGAGUGUUUCAUGUUCCUAUUUUACAGUUUAUGUGAAUUAUUCACAAUUCUAAGUGCAUUAUAAUAGAACAAAAUAAUAUUAUUUGGGUUACUAAAUAAAAGGCAUGCCUAUUAUCA
rnacentral:lncRNA from 13 species